rnacentral:lncRNA from 1 species
UAAACUCAGCUCCUCAGGAGGCUGAGGCAGGAGAAUCGCUUGAACCCGGGAGGUGGAGGUUGCAAUGAGCCGAGAUCUUGCCAUUGCACUAUAGCCUGGGCAACAAGAAGAACAAAACUCUGUCUCAAAAAAAAAAAAAAAAAGAAAGAAAGAAAAGAAAGAUACCACAUUCAAAGCAAAUGGGCAUCUUAUAGGGAAUGAUACAGAAAACUGAAGAAGGCAUAAUUUUACCCAAAUGAAUCGCAGAUGGUUCUUCAAUAUUGGAUCAAUUUUUGUAGAAAGAGAAGUUACUUGGAAAAUGGGAACAAAAUGUCCCAAUGAGAAGAGAAGGUUGACUGUGGAAUAAAUUAAUUUUACCAGUAUAUAUACACUUAAUUAUGAACAAGAGAAUCAGAACAAGGUUCCUGCUAUUAGAGUCAAUUGGUUUAUCAAAUUAGAGUUUGAAUAAUGUUCUUAAAUUUUGGCAUAGAUUAGAAUCACGCAGGAAGGCUGGUUAAAAAUGUAGAUUCCUGGGCACUACAACUAUUAUGUUUCAGUAAAGGUCUGGUGUAGGGCCUAGGGGUAUGGAUUUUAGCCAGCUUCCUAGUAAAUUCCAAAGCCUGUCGUCUCUGUAAAAUCAAAGCAUGCUGAAAGGCAAUAUGGUUAAACGUCCAUGACACCAUCGUUUCAUAAUGAGAUUAGGAAUAAGUCUAUGCCAUUUCCUUAUUAUACAGAGAUAGCCUCCUUACAAAUAUCAUCUGGAACCUUUAUCUUCUGCUUUCCUGAGGUCAUUUUCAAGAACAUCUUCCAUUUAUUUCUCAACCAACCAGAUUUUCAUAGUUGCUUACUCCGUAAAGGAAAAAUGCAUAUGUGUAUGUGUGUGUGCAUGUGUGUAAAUGUGAACAGAAGGGCUGAGUGCGCAUAACAUUAUAGAAAAUUCUCUUUUCCAACAGAUCUAACCAAAGACACAUUUUUGGCUCUGAUAUAAUUAGAGCUAAGGUCGGGGCGGUGAUGUAGAGGGUAAUGGUUGAUGAUAUAAUUAUCAAGACUCAAUAAUCAAAUAAUUUUAAUCAUGAAUUAAAAUCAUGAAUUAAAAUCAUGAACUUAUUAGCCUAGCAUUUGAGAGCUUUUUCUUAAAAAAAUUAAAAAUCUCAUUAUUCACAAUCACCCUCCUAAUUAACCUUAUUCUAUAUGACAUAUACUCUAAUAUUAUUGGCCCUGUGGAGCUUGGGCACCUUCUAAUGCACUGUGGAAGCAUUCUACUUGGAUUAUACCUGUA